UGGGUUUGUUAGAGUUGCAGAGGCCAAGUC
rnacentral:piRNA from 1 species